CUCAUGUGUGUGUGUACUGUGUAUUUGUGUUGCAGCCUAUUUGUUGAGUUUGAAACACAUAUUCAUGCAAGACUAUUUUGUGGCUGAGUGGCAGUAGUGAUAUUAACAAUCUAGUCAACUAUCUUCGCUCUAAGCCAUGCUGGAUUAGCAAGGGAAAAAUAAUUCUGAAUCUUCCCAACCAUCUGAUUUGAUCAUGCUCCAAGUAUUUCUUGGUUAAAUCCACCUAUGCACUUUGAUCAUGCUUCUAGCUUUUUUAUGAUUAAAUUUUGUUGCUAUAUUUGUGACUCUAAUCUUUUGAAAUGCUACCAAUUGAUUUGGGUUUAGAUUUUAAAACUGACAUAAAGAAAAUGAGAGAUUUGAUUUAUCUAAGCAUGUACUGAGCUUUGAUGUGAUCCUACCUGCAAACUUGGACAUUUAUUUGUUUCUGAAUUCUCUUUGGAUAUGGAUAUGAUUUCUGUUGCUGACAGAAUAUUUUUUGCAGCUCUGGAGAGAAGUGAGGG
rnacentral:misc_RNA from 1 species